UGCGGGAUCUGCUAAUGGUAGGCAAAAGGACUCUGAAUCCUUGAAUCUUGGUUCGAAUCCAAGUCCCGCAAC
rnacentral:tRNA from 1 species